rfam:Williamsia sp. D3 Contig0025, whole genome shotgun sequence.
CCGGUUCCGGUUCACACCUUCGAUCCGCGAAGGUGACCCGGCGACC